GCGACCCCAGGUCAGGCGGGACUUCCCGCUGAGUUUAAGCAUAUCAAUAAGCGGAGGA
rnacentral:rRNA from 1 species